rnacentral:rRNA from 1 species
UACGGGGGGGGCAAGCGUUGUUCGGAAUUACUGGGCGUAAAGGGCUCGUAGGUGGCCAACUAAGUCAGACGUGAAAUCCCCAGGCUUAACCUGGGAACUGCGUCUGAUACUGGUGGGCUUGAAUCCGGGAGAGGGAUGCGGAAUUCCAGGUGUAGCGGUGAAAUGCGUAGAUAUCAGGAAGAACACCCGUGGCGAAGGCGGUUCUCUGGGACGGUACUGACGCUGAGACGCGAAAGCGUGGGGAGCGAACAGG